rnacentral:rRNA from 1 species
UACGGGGGGGGCAAGCGUUGUUCGGAAUUACUGGGCGUAAAGGGCCAGUAGGCGGCCGGCUAAGUCCGACGUGAAAUCCCCAGGCUUAACCUUGGAACUGCGUCGGAUACUGGAUGGCUUGAAUUCGGGAGAGGGGAUGCAGAAUUCCAGGUGUAGCGGUGAAAUGCGUAGAUAUCUGGAGGAAUACCGGUGGCGAAGGCGGCAUCCUGGACCGACAUUGACGCUGACGACGAAAGCUAGGGGAGCAAACGGG